AGUUGGCCAUUUCCCACUAUGUAGAGAGCUCUCCCAGAGACCUAAUGGUGCAGCAAAAUGAAAAAACCCAAAACAAACGUCAAGAUAUAUGAAAAUCUGUUCAGGCACAUUUAGAGGCCUUGGAGUGAAGUUAGAUAGCUGGCAGUGAUUGAGAAUAAAGGCAAAAGAGACAAGUUUCUAAUUCUAUGCUGAGUCCGCUGCUGUUAUUGUAAUAAAGCCACCACAUAACACCUGAGAC